GCCCAAGAGAUCGGGAUAACACCUGGAAACAGAUGCUAAUACCGGAUAACAACAGAUGAUGCCUAUCAACUGUUUAAAAGAUGGUUCUGCUAUCACUCUUGGAUGGACCUGCGGUGCAUUAGCUAGUUGGUAAGGUAACGGCCUACCAAGGCGAUGAUGCAUAGCCGAGUUGAGAGACUGAUCGGCCACAUUGGGACUGAGACACGGCCCAAACUCCUACGGGAGGCAGCAGCA
rnacentral:rRNA from 1 species